GGGAACUGAGCAUCCAUUGAUUUUGACAUCCAUGUGAGGUUCUGAACCAAACCCCAGUGGAUACCAAGGGCUCUGUGCAAGUCCAUUUUAUGAAGGUGGGAAAGGAGAGAAGACAGAAUGUCAGAACUGGAAAGGGGAACAAAACAACUACAUGUGGGAUGUUUAUGAGUCCAGCAAUUGAGGAAUUUCAUUUCUUUUGGAUGAAUGAAGGAGAACAGACGGAAUGAGAGGUUAAAUUACAAAAUAAAAGAUGUAGAGGAAGGUGGAAAGAGACUCCCUGACAUGACAGGAAUUAAAGUUCAAGGGCAUCAUGAUGUUUUACUCUUGGAAGAGGCCACUGAAUAUGAGGAUAUAAAAGAGACAUGGCCAGGAAAAAGCAAAAAAUGAGGCUGUGACAGUCAGAAACUGGGUCUCAGGAAAGGUGAAGGAAGCACAACCGCCGCCUGCUCCACGACGCCCUCCAGCUCCAACCACAUGGACCCGUGGCUGAUAUCGGUGCAUGGAGUGAACAAUUA